UUGGGGAUAAAAAUAUAAAAUAAGUUCUAAAUGUAGACACAAAAGAUAUUUUUCUAUAAAUUAAUUGUUUUUAUUUUGCUCCAAACGCAUAGAUCUAGGAGAAUCAAGCUAUCUAAAUGUGACUGUGCAUUUUCCUUGAAUUUUUGCUCUGACCUUUGACCCUGAUUUAAAAAAAUCGUGACCACGGUAGACAGCGACGACAACGCUAUUUCGAUGAGGAUUGUUCUCCUCUUUCCAAUGAUAUAAAAUAUAGCCGUAUGUUAUUCCGUUUAGGCAAAUCGAUAAUAUUUGUUGAUUGGGCAC
rnacentral:lncRNA from 1 species